UGAGUAACACGUAGGGAACCUGCCCCUAAGACGAGGAUAACUACUGGAAACGGUAGCUAAUACUGGAUAGGAUAAGUUGACGCAUGUUGGCUUAUUUAAAGGUGCCUAUAAAGCACCGCUUAGGGAUGGCCCUGCGGCGCAUUAGCUAGUUGGUGGGGUAACGGCCUACCAAGGCGACGAUGCGUAGCUGUGCUGAGAGGCAGAACAGCCACACUGGGACUGAGACACGGCCCAGACUCCUACGGGAGGCAGCAGUAGGGAAUUUUCGGCAAUGGGGGGAACCCUGACCGAGCGAUGCCGCGUGAGUGAUGAAGGUCUUCGGACUGUAAAACUCUGUUAUUAGGGAAGAAUACUAUAGGGAGGAAAUGCCUUAUAGAUGACGGUACCUAAUGAGGAAGCCCCGGCCAACUAUGUGCCAGCAGCCGCGGUAAUACAUAGGGGGCGAGCGUUAUCCGGAAUUACUGGGCGUAAAGGGUGCGUAGGCGGUUUCUUAAGUCUAGCGUGAA
rnacentral:rRNA from 1 species